rnacentral:rRNA from 1 species
GUCUCUUUGAAGAUUUAAUAAUAAAGAGUUUGGCCUGCUCAGUGAUAUUUUUAACAGCUGCGGUAUUAUAACUGUACUAAGGUAGCAUAAUAAUUUGCCUUAUAAAUUAGGGCUAGAAUGAAUGGUUUAACGAAAAUUAUACUGUCUCUAUUUUAAUUGAUAGAAAUUAAUUUUUAUAGUGAAAAAGCUUAAAUAGUUUAAAGGGACGAGAAGACCCUAUUGAGCUUUAUAUUAGUUAUAAUAAAAUAUAAUUUAUUUAGUUAAAUUAAUAUUAUGUUUAUUAUGUUUAAUUUUGAUUGGGGUGAUCAAGGAAUAAAAUAAAUAUUAUUUAACUUCCUUAAUAAGAUUAUUUUUUAGAAUAAUUAACCAAUGAUAUUGCUUAUAUGAUAAGUUACCAUAGGGAUAACAGCGUAAUUUUUUUGGAGAGUUCAUAUUAAAAAAAGAGAUUGCGACCUCGAUGUUGGAUUAAAAUAACCAUAUGGUGAAGAGGCUUUAUAUGGUGAAUCUGUUCGAUUUUUAAAAUUUU